CAGCACCUCAAGUGGUCAGGAUGAUUAUUGGGCCUAAAGCAUCCGUAGCCGGCGCUGUAAGUUUUCGGUUAAAUCUGUACGCUCAACGUACAGGCUGCCGGGAAUACUGCAGCGCUAGGGAGUGGGAGAGGUAGACGGUUCUCGGUAGGAAGGGGUAAAAUCCUUUGAUCUAUUGAUGACCACCUGUGGCGAAGGCGGUCUACCAGAACACGUCCGACGGUGAGGGAUGAAAGCUGGGGGAGCAAACCGGAUUAGAGACCCGAGUAGUCC
rnacentral:rRNA from 1 species